rnacentral:rRNA from 1 species
UAGCCCUACGGGAGGCAGCAGUGAGGAAUAUUGGUCAAUGGACGAGAGUCUGAACCAGCCAAGUAGCGCGAAGGAUGACUGCCCUAUGGGUUGUAAACUUCUUUUAUAUGGGAAUAAAAUGUUCCACGUGUGGGAUUUUGUAUGUACCAUAUGAAUAAGGAUCGGCUAACUCCGUGCCAGCAGCCGCGGUAAUACGGAGGAUCCGAGUGUUAUCCGGAUUCAUUGGGUUUAAAGGGCGCGUAGGUGGAUUGUUAAGUCAGUUGUGAAAGUU